UACAGAGGGGGCAAGCGUUGUUCGGAAUUACUGGGCGUAAAGGGCGCGUAGGCGGCCUUCUAAGUCGAACGUGAAAUCCCCGGGCUCAACCCGGGAACUGCGUCCGAUACUGGAAGGCUUGAAUCCGGGAGAGGGAUGCGGAAUUCCAGGUGUAGCGGUGAAAUGCGUAGAUAUCUGGAGGAACACCGGUGGCGAAGGCGGCAUCCUGGACCGGUAUUGACGCUGAGGCGCGGAAAGCCAGGGGAGCAAAGCGGG
rnacentral:rRNA from 1 species